AUUGAACGCUGGCGGCAGGCCUAACACAUGCAAGUCGAACGCGUGGCGGACGGGUGCGUAAUGUCUGGGCAACUGCCCGAUGGAGGGGGAUAACUACUGGCAACGGUAGCUAAUACCGCAUACCAUCGGAUGUGCCCAGAUGGGAUUAGCUAGUAGGUGGGGUAACGGCUCACCUAGGCGACGAUCCCUAGCUGGUCUGAGAGGAUGACCAGCCACAAUGGAAAUGAGACACGGGCCAGACUCCUAAGGGAGGCAGCAGUGGGGAAUAUUGCACAAUGGGCGCAAGCAUGAUGCAGCCAUGCCGCGUGUAUGAAGAAGGCCUUCGGGUUGUAAAGUACUUUCAGCGAGGAGGCGUUACUCGCAGAAGAAGCACCGGCUAACUCCGUGCCAGCAGCCGCGGUAAUUC
rnacentral:rRNA from 1 species